rnacentral:rRNA from 1 species
AACUCCAUAUCGGCGGUGGAAACUGAUGAACUAGAGGGUGGUAGGGGUCACGGGAAUUCCCAGUGUAGCGGUGAAAUGCGUAGAUAUUGGGAAGAACACCAGCGGCGAAAGCGCGUGACUGGGCCAUUACUGACACUCAUGGACGAAAGCUAGGGGAGCGAAAGGGAUUAGAUACCCCUGUAGUCCUAGCCGUAAACGAUGGACACUAGGUGUUGCCCGAUCGACCCGGGCAGUGCCGUAGCUAACGCGUUAAGUGUCCCGCCUGGGGAGUACGCACGCAAGUGUGAAACUCAAAGGAAUUGACGGGGGCCCGCACAAGCGGUGGAGUAUGUGGUUUAAUUCGAUGCAACGCGAAGAACCUUACCAGGGCUGGACAUGUCGCGAAUCCCCUUGAAAGGGGGGAGUGCCUUCGGGAGCGCGAGCACAGGUGGUGCAUGGCUGUCGUCAGCUCGUGUCGUGAGAUGUUGGGUUAAGUCCCGCAACGAGCGCAACCCACGUUUCUAGUUGCCAGCAUUCAGUUGGGCACUCUAGAGAGACUGCCGGUGACAAACCGGAGGAAGGUGUGGAUGACGUCAAGUCAGCAUGCCCCUUACGUCCUGGGCUACACACGUACUACAAUGCUUCGGACAGAGGGUUGCCAGCCCGCGAGGGUGCGCUAAUCCCGUAAACCGAGGCUCAGUUCAGAUUGCAGGCUGCAACUCGCCUGCAUGAAGGCGGAAUCGCUAGUAAUCGCCGGUCAGCAUACGGCGGUGAUACGUUCCCGGGCCUUGUACACACCGCCCGUCACACCAUGGGAGUUGGUCACGCCCGAAGUUGUUACCCU